rnacentral:rRNA from 1 species
AUGCAAGUCGAGCGGUAAGGCCUUUCGGGGUACACGAGCGGCGAACGGGUGAGUAACACGUGGGUGAUCUGCCCUGCACUUCGGGAUAAGCCUGGGAAACUGGGUCUAAUACCGGAUAUGACCUCCUAUCGCAUGGUGGGUGGUGGAAAGAUUUAUCGGUGCAGGAUGGGCCCGCGGCCUAUCAGCUUGUUGGUGGGGUAAUGGCCUACCAAGGCGACGACGGGUAGCCGACCUGAGAGGGUGACCGGCCACACUGGGACUGAGACACGGCCCAGACUCCUACGGGAGGCAGCAGUGGGGAAUAUUGCACAAUGGGCGAAAGCCUGAUGCAGCGACGCCGCGUGAGGGAUGACGGCCUUCGGGUUGUAAACCUCUUUCAGCAGGGACGAAGCGCAAGUGACGGUACCUGCAGAAGAAGCACCGGCUAACUACGUGCCAGCAGCCGCGGUAAUACGUAGGGUGCAAGCGUUGUCCGGAAUUACUGGGCGUAAAGAGUUCGUAGGCGGUUUGUCGCGUCGUUUGUGAAAACCAGCAGCUCAACUGCUGGCUUGCAGGCGAUACGGGCAGACUUGAGUACUGCAGGGGAGACUGGAAUUCCUGGUGUAGCGGUGAAAUGCGCAGAUAUCAGGAGGAACACCGGUGGCGAAGGCGGGUCUCUGGGCAGUAACUGACGCUGAGGAACGAAAGCGUGGGUAGCGAACAGGAUUAGAUACCCUGGUAGUCCACGCCGUAAACGGUGGGCGCUAGGUGUGGGUUCCUUCCACGGAUCCGUGCCGUAGCUAACGCAUUAGCGCCCGCCUGGGAGUACGGCCCAAGCUAAACUCAAGAUGACGGGGCC